UAGACCGGAGCGUCCUCCAGCGCAGGCAAGGAUUCCUCGUUUAGAGUCAUGUUAUCUUCGAGUACCUAGAGAGACAUUUUAACCCACACCCUAGAGAGGCGUUGUAAUCCUUACGUGUCUUUUAACGCUACUUGGCCCUUACCUGCGAGCAACUGACCUUUAAUAAUCCUCAUUUUCUGUGCCCCGGAAGUGCCUUACCCUCUUCGCGUCUGUUUCCCGGAAGUGGUUCUUCUCCCUCUCCACCCUUUCGCCCGCCUGGGCGGUCCAGCUGCCCCUAGGGGCCAACUCCAGCGGCUAUUUUGGGGCUGGACAUCCCGCAGCUUUUCAAGGCGUGCCUUUGGUUUUUUUAAGAAGUGCUAUCUAAAGGAAAAGCUGGACUAUGACUCUGGGGAACUUUCAUAUCCUCAGUUGACCUUAGGCUGUGUGACCUUGAGCAGGUAGCAUAACCUCUCUGAGUUUCCCGCGUGCCUUAUGUGCAGAUUGAGAUGCUAAAAUGAGAGAGCUAAAUUGGAAAGCUUUUUCCACAUAGGGGGCCGUGAGCAGGUGGCUGUUUUGUCCUCUGGCACCUUUGGCUCAGACUUAAGCAGCUUCAACGACCGCCAAGAUGCCUGCCAUGCCCACCAAGAUUUAAAGGACUCUGAUAAUUCUUUCUCUCCCCAAACGGUGUUUUCCUUAUCUAAUCCUAAUAACCAAGCCUGGAGGAAUCCCUGACUUCGUGAUUGAAGGCUCUCCAGGUCCCCUAGUUUAAGGGCAGAGAUUUACUUUCUCUGAGGCUACAAAGGAGCGUCUGCGAGAAUGUCUCUACCUUAGACAAAACAGGGAGGAGGGGUGGAGCUCUCCAAAUUGCCUCUGGUUUGGGCUUUUUCUUUCUGUUUUGGUGUAUCGUCUCUGGCCAACAACACCUGUGAGUCCUUGAUGUGACGAUUAGGGAAGAUGUUUUUAAUUCACAUAACUAUUCUUUAGAGAAAAUUGAUCCUGAAACACCUUAUUGCCUUAUCGUAGAAUGACUGCAUUACUCAGAAUUCUUUACCUCUACCGGAAUUUAGUGAAGGGAAGGCACAACGUACAUUAGGAAAAUACAGGACACACUCCAGUCCUUAAACCUUCCACAAUCUUCUAGCUCUUUAAGGUCGAGUGUGAUCCUCCCCAGAACUGCAUCUUCCAGGAAGCUCAUGAGAAAGGAAGGAUCCCAGGUCCCAUCUCUGAUCUGAGUCGGCAUCUGCGUUUUAACAGAAUCCUGAAGCAGUGGUCUAACUCCUUUGGUGGUGUUAUUGUUUGCAUGUAUACCUCCAAAAUUCACAUAUUGAAAUACUAACCCCCAAGGUGAUAGUAUUAGGAGGUGGGGCCUUUGGGAGGUAAUUAAGUCAUGAGGGUGAAGCCCUCAUGAAUGGGAUUAGUACUCUUAGAAAAGGGACCCCAGAGAGGUCUCUUUCCACCAUGUAAGGAUAAAAGUACACGGAGAAGAUGGCAAUCUGCAAACUGGAAAAGGGCCCUCCUCAGAACCUGACCAUCUUGGCACCUUGAUCUCAGACUUCCAUCUUCCAGAACUGUGAGAAAUAAAUUUCUUUUAUAAACACUCAGUCAAUGCUACUUUAUUAUAGCAGCCUGAAUGGAUUAAGACAGGUGGUCUGGUUUAAAGUGAUGUGGUGGCAUCAGAAGUUUAAGGAGAGACUGGAUUUACAGAACCAGAAUCUGGGAUGCUGUUUACAGAGCAAGUUAUUUCCUGCAUUUGGACACUGUCAGCAGGUCGAUUCAGGAGACAGGUGAAAACUUUAUCACCGGGCAGCCUGGAUGAACACCACAACUUUGAUAUCUUUCACUUAAAGGAAAGAUAAGGGCAUCCACUAUUUCUACACCUGGCUGGCAGAGUGAGAGCUCACCAAAGGACUUACAAAUUCAUGGACUAUUAUGAAGACAAGUUAAGAGAUUGUGUCCUCCAAACUCAUCAUUUUUCAGGCAUGAACAAGGCAGGUAGAGAAGCUAAACUGGAAAUCUAAUAAUCACCCAGCUCCUUUCACCC
rnacentral:lncRNA from 10 species